CUUAAUGUGGCAGAUUAGUGCAAUGAACUUAAACUUCAUGUAUAAAGAAUAACUCUUUCAUUAAGA
rnacentral:tRNA from 1 species